CCGGGAUAGCUCAGUUGGUAGAGCAGANGACUGAAAA
rnacentral:tRNA from 1 species